UGCGAAUGGCUGCCUAGUCAAAAAAUGCGCUCCGACACUGCAACCAACUUUGAAGAUGCGCCAUCCCGUUGUGACAAAAUGAAAUAAUUAAAUUCGUAAAUAAAUACUGUGAAACGUGAGAAUAAAUAAAUACGAACAACAUGAAAAUUGACACCGCACACAAUAUGAAAUAAGUCCUGCAAUCUCAAGUCAAGUGGCUUUAUUGUCAUUCCAUCCUUACUCACUACUGCAGCAUAUAACGCCCCUUGGACUGGUGUGCAACGUAUACACAGACAAAAGGACAAAAACAAUACAGUCUGAGAAGGAGAAAAUAAAGUGAGGACAAUGUCAACAGAAAAAACCACAUCAGAUCUGGGCAUCGCCAUUUAAUAAACCGUAUAUAAAGGUACAUCUGUUAAAAAUGAGUCUUGUGGUGGACUGGCGCCUUGUCUAGAGUUGGCUCCUGCUUUGUGCCCAAUGCUGCCUGUAAUAAAUCUUGGCUGCACCUGCCCACAACUUGAAAAUUGAAUUCCAGAUGAUUUAUUGAUGGAUGAACGGAUCGAUGGAGAAAAAAAAAAAAAUCUUCUUCCUUUUCAUCUCUUCCCACUUCUGUGUGGGUUUGAUGUGUUUGUUUAGACCUCUCCAUACAGUUCAAAAUAAUUACACACUGAGGAGUCUGAUAUUGGAAAGUGUUCUGUAUGAAAAACUUAAAGAGUCCUAGUAGACUUGUUACUGUCCAUAGGCAGUAUGAAGGGGGUCAAUAGCAGGGCUGGAUUAAGACGAAACUGGGCCUGAGGCUGCAGCGCAAAAAAAGCAUAUUUUUUCUCAGCAUUGAUGCGUGUGCAUUCGACACUCACCGUACACGCGCACUCAUACUG